AUACGGAGGGUCCAAGCGUUAUCCGGAAGCAUUGGGUUUAAAGGGUCCGUAGGCGGGCAAUUAAGUCAGAGGUGAAAUCCCACAGCUCCACUGUGGAACUGCCUUUGAUACUGAUAGUCUUGAGUUACAGUGAAGUAGAUAGAAUAUGUAGUGUAGCGGUGAAAUGCAUAGAUAUUACAUAGAAUACCGAUUGCGAAGGCAGUCUACUAACUGUAUACUGACGCUGAUGGACGAAAGCGUGGGGAGCGAACAGGAUUAGAAACCCUAGUAGUCC
rnacentral:rRNA from 1 species